rnacentral:rRNA from 1 species
ACUCCUACGGGAGGCAGCAGUGGGGAAUAGGGACAGGGGCGCAAGCCUGAUCCAGCCAUGCCGCGUGAGUGAUGAAGGCCCUAGGGUUGUAAAGCUCUUUCACCGGUGAAGAUAAUGACGGUAACCGGAGAAGAAGCCCCGGCUAACUUCGUGCCAGCAGCCGCGGUAAU